AGGAGCCACCCCUUCAAUAAGUCUGCCUGAAGUGCGCUUAGCAGGAGCCCUCCAAGCUGUUUGUUUCAGGAAGUGGGGGAGAGUUCUGAGUCUACACUAACAGGAGACUGGAGGGUCGUCUUACACUUUCUGGAACUACAUUAAGAGAACAGCAGAUUGACUUAAAUAUUUGAAGAUCUUCUGAUGAAGACAUGCUGUGAUGACCCAAUGGAGCAUGACUACUCUUACUGAUGUCUUCCAGUCAGAAACAGGAUGACGUCUCUGUGUCCCCAAUCUCUCAUGUCAAAGGGAAGAUGUGCAUAUCCUGCGAGCACUUUGGAUUUAUAUGUGCAUGCAUUGGCUUUUCUGCUCCCUGUUUAUCUAUCAAAACUUAUUAUCUAGGCAUCUAGGUGUGCUGGGCACACUACUGAGUUCCAGGAAUACUCUAUCUCCAAAACAAACGAACGACUCAUAAACCCAUUAACUAUAUUAAACAUUAACAUUUUGUAGAAACCUUUCAUAAACCUCAGAUUUUCUUUUC
rnacentral:lncRNA from 1 species